UACGUAGGUGGCAAGCGUUGUCCGGAAUUAUUGGGCGUAAAGCGCGCGCAGGCGGUCCUUUAAGUCUGAUGUGAAAGCCCACGGCUCAACCGUGGAGGGUCAUUGGAAACUGGGGGACUUGAGUACAGAAGAGAAGAGUGGAAUUCCACGUGUAGCGGUGAAAUGCGUAGAGAUGUGGAGGAACACCAGUGGCGAAGGCGACUCUUUGGUCUGUAACUGACGCUGAUGCACGAAAGUGUGGGGAGCGAACAGG
rnacentral:rRNA from 1 species